GCGUAAAUGGAAAGCUACUGAGGAUGGUAGCUACUCCUACAGUAUCUGUCAUAUCUUUCAUCUGAGCCUAGAGGACAGUCUUUGUCCUCAGGCCUGGAGGGAAGCCAAAGUCAUUCCAUUACCCAAGAGUGGUAAAGCGGUCUUUAAUGGUUCUAACAGCUGACCUAUCAGCAUGCUGCCAGCUCUUUUAAAGGACACAACGAGAGGGAAAGUUCCGUUAGAGCUAAGUCCCCUCCUGUUCCCUGAUUUAAGAGGUGAUGACUACUCCACUCCAAUACCAUUGUCAACUUUCUCCUGACAUGAACCGAAGCCACGUCUCAGGUGCCCCCUCAUCCACUGGCACAUUGAAUGUUUCCCCUCCAAGCACUUCAAAUCCUGUCCUGCACUGGUCAAGCCUAUGAACACCUCAACUCAUGCCUCAUACCCUCAUUCAAUCACUGCUGUGAUCCAUUUCCAACACGGUUCUCUAUUCUCUCCCCCAGUGAAUGCUUGAAACCCUCAUCUUGUCUCUGUCUCCCUUUCCGGAGGACCUGAGGCUCUUGGACCGAGACUGAGUACUCCCUGGCCUGACACCUGGAGGUGCCUAGCCCAAUCCCACCUUGUCACGCUCUACCUGCUACCUGCCUAUUGCUGCCUUCACUGGUUCUUUCUCCUCAAACACUGACCCCCACUCCCCACACACCCAGAAACGGGAAUUUCCAUUACUUACCAUGACGUCUGACUAUAGGGUCUUGAAUGUAUGCUUUUAUACGGUCUGUAUCUCUGUAUUAAUGUAAGUCAAAUAAAUAUUGUGGACUGGAAGUGUGACUUCUUUUUUUUUUCACCUUUAUUUAACCAGGUAGGCUAGUUGAGAACAAGUUCUCAUUUGCAACUGCGACCUGGCCAAGAUAAAGCAUAGCAGUGUGAGCAGACAACAAAGAGUUACACAUGGAGUAAACAAUUAACAAGUCAAUAACACAGUAGAAAACAAAGGGGGGUCUAUAUACAGCCGACUAGAGCAUACAAGUCGCAGUGGUGGGUGGUAUAAGGUGCUUUAGUGACAAAACGGAUGGCACUGUGAUAGACUGCAUCCAGUUUGCUGAGUAGAGUGUUGGAAGCCAUUUUGUAGAUGACAUCGCCGAAGUCGAGGAUCGGUAGGAUAGUCAGUUUUACUAGGGUAAACUUGGCAGCGUGAGUGAAGGAGGCUUUGUUGCGGAAUAGAAAGUCGACUCUUGAUUUGAUUUUCGAUUGGAGAUGUUUGAUAUGAGUCUGGAAGGAGAGUUUACAGUCUAGCCAGACACCUAGGUACUUAUAGACGUCCACAUAUUCUAGGUCGGAACCAUCCAGGGUGGUGAUGCUAGUCGGGCAUGCGGGUGCAGGCAGCGACCGGUUGAAAAGCAUGCAUUUGGUUUUACUAGCGUUUAAGAGCAGUUGGAGGCCACGGAAGGAGUGUUGUAUGGCAUUGAAGCUUGUUUGGAGGUUAGAUAGC
rnacentral:lncRNA from 1 species